GACUCCUUCGUCUAGUGGUCCAGGACACCACCCUUUCACGGUGGUAACGCGGGUUCGACUCCCGUGGGAGUCACUU
rnacentral:tRNA from 2 species